AACGUAGGUUCCGAGCGUUAUCCGGAUUUACUGGGCGUAAAGCGCGUUCAGGCGGUUUGGCAAGUCGGGCAUGAAAUCUCUCGGCUCAACCGGGAGAGGUUGUCCGAUACUGCUGGACUUGAGGGCAGUAGAGGGUGGUGGAAUUCCGGGUGUAGCGGUGGAAUGCGUAGAGAUCCGGAAGAACACCGGUGGCGAAGGCGGCCUGCUGGGCAGUUUAGCUGACACUGAGGCGCGACAGCGUGGGGAGCAAACAGG
rnacentral:rRNA from 1 species